AGAGUUUGAUCCUGGCUCAGAAUCAACGCUGGCGGCGUGCCUCAUACAUGCAAGUCGAACGCGAAAGCGGCCUUCGGGCCGCGAGUAGAGCGGCAGACGGCUGAGUAACGCGUGAGUAACUUGCCCUCCGGUGGGGUAUACACUCGGGAAACUGAGGAUAAUCCCGCAUACGACCCGGUCCCCUUGGGGAUCAGGUGAAAGGCUUCGGUCGCCGGAGGAGAGGCUCGCGUCCUAUCAGGUAGUUGGUGGGGUAAAAGCCUACCAAGCCGAUGACGGGUAGCUGGUCUGAGAGGAUGACCAGCCAGAGGGGGACUGAGACACGGCCCCCACUCCUACGGGAGGCAGCAGCAGGGAAUCUUGGGCAAUGGGCGAAAGCCUGACCCAGCGACGUCGCGUGGAGGACGAAGGCCUUCGGGUUGUAAACUCCUUUUCCGAGGGAAGAUUUCGGACGGUACCUCGGGAAUAAGCCCCGGCUAACUACGUGCCAGCAGCCGCGGUAAUACGUAGGGGGCAAGCGUUACCCGGAAUUACUGGGCGUAAAGUGCGCGUAGGCGGUUGGAUAAGUCUCUUGUGAAAGCUCCCGGCUCAACUGGGAGAGGUCAAGGGAUACUAUUCGACUAGAGGACAGCAGAGGUAAGCGGAAUUCCCGGUGUAGCGGUGGAAUGCGUAGAUAUCGGGAGGAACACCAGCGGCGAAAGCGGCUUACUGGGCUGUAGCUGACGCUGAGGCGCGAGAGCGUGGGGAGCAAACUGGAUUAGAUACCCAGGUAGUCCACGCCCUAAACGAUGGAUACUAGGUAUGGGGGGUAUUGACCCCCUCCGUGCCGUAGCUAACGCGUUAAGUAUCCCGCCGGGGGACUACGGCCGCAAGGCUAAAACUCAAAGGAAUUGACGGGGGCCCGCACAAGCGGUGGGGCGUGUGGUUUAAUUCGAUGCUAAGCGAAGAACCUUACCUGGGCUUGACAUGUUGGUAGUAGGAACCCGAAAGGGUAACGACCUCGGGGUAACUCGGGGAGCCUUCACAGGUGCUGCAUGGCUGUCGUCAGCUCGUG
rnacentral:rRNA from 1 species